AUACGUAGGUGGCAAGCGUUGUCCGGAUUUACUGGGCGUAAAGCGCGCGCAGGCGGCUUACCAAGUCUGGGGUGAAAUCUCCCGGCUCAACCGGGAGGGGUCUCUGGAUACUGGUAGGCUUGAGGGAAGCAGAGGAGAGUGGAAUUCCCGGUGUAGCGGUGAUAUGCGUAGAUAUCGGGAGGAACACCAGUGGCGAAGGCGGCUCUCUGGGCUUUUCCUGACGCUGAGGCGCGAAAGCGUGGGGAGCGAACCGGAUUAGAAACCCCAGUAGUCC
rnacentral:rRNA from 1 species